AGUGAACGCUGGCGGUAGGCCUAACACAUGCAAGUCGAACGGCAGCACAGUAAGAGCUUGCUCUUACGGGUGGCGGGUGGCGGACGGGUGAGGAAUACAUCGGAAUCUACUUUUUCGUGGGGGAUAACGUAGGGAAACUUACGCUAAUACCGCAUACGAACUACGGGUGAAAGCAGGGGAUCUUCGGACCUUGCGCGAUUGAAUGAGCCGAUGUCGGAUUAGCUAGUUGGCGGGGUAAAGGCCCACCAAGGCGACGAUCCGUAGCUGGUCUGAGAGGAUGAUCAGCCACACUGGAACUGAGACACGGUCCAGACUCCUACGGGAGGCAGCAGUGGGGAAUAUUGGACAAUGGGCGCAAGCCUGAUCCAGCCAUACCGCGUGGGUGAAGAAGGCCUUCGGGUUGUAAAGCCCUUUUGUUGGGAAAGAAAAGCAGCAGGUUAAUACCCCGCUGUUCUGACGGUACCCAAAGAAUAAGCACCGGCUAACUUCGUG
rnacentral:rRNA from 1 species